rnacentral:rRNA from 1 species
GAAAAGAAAGCAAAAGCGAUUCCCCAAGUAACGGCGAGUGAACAGGGAUAAGCCUAGCGCUAAGGCUUAAUGUGGGUGUGUCAUAGCAAUCAAUUGAAAAGCAUUAAGCGGUGCAGCGUUACAAACCUUGGUGUUUAGUAAUAUCAAUGUAGUGUUUACUUGCAAUUGGGCAACUAAUUGUCUGUAUGCAUUGCUUUGGGCCUAGCGUACAAGUCCCAUUGACUUGGGCUUAUUCUUCAAUUGAGAUGUCUACGAGUUUGGGGCAACUUGGACUCGUGGAUGAGCCAUAGAGGGUGAAAGUCCCUUAAUGCGCAGGUAUUGGUAUUACGAACCGGGGCAGUGGCGUUUGGUCAAACAAACGUUGCGAUUUGUUAGAGUCAGGUUGCUUGAGAGUGCAACCUAAAGAGCGAGGUAAACUGCUCGUAAGGCUAUUUAAAUACGGCUACGACACCGAUAGCAAACAAGUACCGUGAGGGAAAGUUGCAAAGUACUUUGAAGAGAGAGUUAAACAGGGCGUGAAACCGCUAGCUGGUAAACGAGUGGAGCCACGAAGUCGUUUCGUAGAAUACGAGGUGCAAAUUCAGCUAAGGUCCCUAAAAAGGCUUUGGCGUAUUUUUGCUUGCCUCGCUACUGUAAGCGUACACUGCAACCAAUUAGACGGCCAAUUGUGGAACGAGUUUGCAAGUUUAACAGGGAAACUUGUUGCUUGUAAGCGAAAUUAUUUGUGUAUUUACUGUAGGUAGCCUGAAUAUACUUUCGAGUUUAUUUGGGUGUCUGACAAUUAACGUAAAUACGUGAACUACAAUUGGGCACUGAUUGGCGAAAUGAAAAUCGAUUCGUAAGAUUCGUGCAUUCAUAGAAAGCGAUUGGCAUUGUUAUUAUAAUACAAUUGUACACUACUAGUACAAGCUUAGUAUUUUUGAAUUCAGGCGCGUGUAUUGUCAAUGGGCUUGCUUGUUGAUAUAUGCGAUGUUUCCUGUCUAAUCGGGUAUUAACUUUACUGGCAGUUUGAUACAAUUGCUACGAUAGUUGUGAUACAGUAGCUAAUUUGCAAUCAUGGCA